UACGAAGGGUGCAAGCGUUAUUCGGAAUUACUGGGCGUAAAGCGCACGUAGGCGGCUUUGUAAGUAAGAGGUGAAAGCCUGGAGCUCAACUCCAGAAUUGCCUUUUAGACUGCAUCGCUUGAAUCAUGGAGAGGAUAGUGGAAUUCCCGGUGUAGUGGUGAAAUGCGUAGAUAUCGGGAGGAACACCAGUGGCGAAGGCGACUAUCUGGGCUGCAACUGACGCUGAGGCGCGAAGGCUAGGGUAGCAAACAGG
rnacentral:rRNA from 1 species